rnacentral:rRNA from 1 species
UACGGUAGGGUGCGAGCGUUUGUCCGGAAUUACUGGGCGUAAAGAGCUCGUAGGUGGUUUGUCGCGUUGUUCGUGAAAACUCACAGCGUUAACUGUGGGCGUGCGGGCGAUACGGGCAGACUGGAGUACUGCAGGGGGAGACUGGAAUUCCUGGUGUAGCGGUGGAAUGCGCAGAUAUCAGGAGGAACACCGGUGGCGAAGGCGGGUCUCUGGGCAGUAACUGACGCUGAGGAGCGAAAGCCAGGGGAGCAAACGGG